GCUUAGAAGCAGCCAUCCUUUAAACAGUGCGUAACAGCUGACCGGCCGAGGAGCCCUGCGCGGAAGAUUCAACGGGGCUAAGCCGGGCACCGAAACUGCGGGCUUGGCGGGAUUGCCUAUAAGGCGUUCCGUCAGGCGGUAGGGGAGCGUUCCGCUUGCUGUGAAGCCCGACCGAAAGGACGGGUGGAGCGGGCGGAAGUGAGAAUCCCGGCACGAGUAGCGAUAAGGCAGGUGAGAAUCCUGCCCGCCGGAAGCCCAAGGUUUCCGACGCAACGCUCGUCGGCGUCGGGUGAGGCGGUCCUAAGCCGAGGCCGUUCGGCGUAGGCGAUGGGCAGCGGGUUUAUAUUCCCGCCCCACCGACCUCCGCCAUCAGGGAUGGGGGACGCUCCCAAGGGAGCCUACGCGGCGAUGGUCUUCCGCGGCGACCGUGGAGUCAGCGUUCGUAAGGAGCGCUGGCUUGGCGGGAGUGAGCCGCCUUUGCGCGGCGAAGUGGCGACCCAAGGGAGCCAAGAAAAGCCCUUACCGAGUCCGUCCCGAAAGGGAUGGCGCGGAGCGUCGGUGACCGUACCGGAAACCGCCACAGGUGGGCGAGGAGAGUAUCCACAGGCGCGCGGGAUAACCCCCGCCAAGGAACUCUGCAAAAUGUCCCCGUAACUUCGGGAGAAGGGGAGCCGUAGUAGGGUGAAAGGACUUUGCGUCCAAGUAGCCCGAGGCGGUCGCAGAUAAGCGGCCGGGGCGACUGUUUAACAAAAACACAGGUUCCUGCCAACCCGAAAGGGGAGGUAUAGGGGCCGACGCCUGGCCAGUGCCCGAAGGUGAAGGUAAGGGGUUAGCCGCAAGGCGAAGCUCCGAGCCUAAGCCCGGGUAAACGGAGGCCGUAACUCUGACGGUCCUAAGGUAGCGUAAUCCCUUGCCGGGUAAGUUCCGGCCUGCAUGAAUGGCUUAACCACUGCCGCUCUGUCUCAGGGGGGUGCCCGGUGAAAAUGUAGUGGGGGUGAAGAUGCCCCCGACCCGCGGCAGGACGGAAAGACCCCGUGCAGCUUUACUGCAGUCUGGCGCUGAACUCCGGGAGACCCUGCGCAGGAUAGGUGGGAGCCUGAGAAGUCCCCGCUCCGGCGGGGAUGGAGGCGCCGGUGAGAUACCACCCUGGAUCUCUUGGAGUUCUAACCUCGGUCCGUCAACCCGGACGGGGGACACCGUCAGGCGGGCAGUUUUCCUGGGGCGGGAUCUCCCGAAAAAGUAUCGGGAGAGUGCAAAGGUGCCCUCAGCCGGGAUGGAAAUCCGGCCUUGAGUGCAAGGGCAUAAGGGCGCCUGACUGCGAGAGGGACACCUCGAGCAGACGCGAAAGCGGGCCCUAGUGACCCGGCGGUCCUAUGUGGGAGGGCCGUCGAUCAGCGGAUAAAAGCUACGCCGGGGAUAACAGACUAAUUUCUCCUGAGAGUUCACAUCGACGGGGGAGUUUGGUACCUCGAUGUCGGCUCAUCCCAUCCUGGGGCUGAAGAAGGUCCCAAGGGUCGGGCUGUUCGCCCGUUAAAGGGGUACGCGAGCUGGGUUUAAACCGUCGUGAGACAGGUUGGUCCUUAUCCGCCGUGGGCGCAGGAGGACUGAGGGGAGCUCGCCCUAGUACGAGAGGACCGGGCGGGACCAGCCUCUGGUGUCCCGGCUGUCGCGCCAGCGGCACGCGCCGGGUAGCCAUGCUGGGUCGGGAUAACCGCUGAAAGCAUCUAAGCGGGAAGCCCACCCCAAGAUAAGGCCUCCCACGGGGUUAACCCGGUAAGGGCCCGGGAAGACUACCCGGUUGAUGGGCCGGAGGUGGAAGCCCAGCAAUGGGUGGAGCUGACCGGUCCCAAUAGCCCGAGGGCUUGACU
rnacentral:rRNA from 1 species